GGCUCCUAUACCAAGGCUUUUUUUUCAGUUGGAAUUUACCGGAACUCAGUUCCAGCACCUCUCAGGUGGCUGAGAGAACGAGGGCAGGUGUUCAUGAUACUUAUCCUCUUGUCAAAAGCUCGGAAGAUUGAGGAAAGGGAAAGCCAUAGAUGGAAGGGGUGCCAGAAGAGGAGCUCAACAUUUCCAGACCAACAAGAAAUUGAAAAGUUCCAGAGUUCUGAUGAGAAAAAGGAGGAUGAAGAGAAAAAGUACCUCGAUGUCAUCAGCAACAAAAAUAUAAAGCUGUCAGAAAGAGUAUUGAUUCCUGUCAAACAGUAUCCAAAGUUUAAUUUUGUGGGCAAAUUGCUUGGACCAAGAGGAAAUUCCUUGAAAAGGUUACAAGAGGAAACAGGUGCAAAAAUGUCAAUCCUGGGGAAGGGUUCUAUGAGAGACAAAGCCAAGGAAGAAGAACUAAGGAAGAGUGGGGAAGCCAAAUACGCACACUUGAGUGAUGAACUACAUGUAUUAAUUGAAGUGUUUGCCCCACCCGGGGAAGCUUAUUCACGGAUGAGUCACGCCUUGGAAGAAAUUAAAAAAUUCCUCGUUCCAGACUAUAAUGAUGAAAUCCGUCAAGAGCAAUUGAGAGAAUUAUCAUAUCUAAAUGGUUCAGAAGAGUCAGCUCGUGGACGAGCCAUGCGGGGAAGAGGGAUCCGGGUUCCUCCUGCAGCCCCUUCAAGGGGUCGUGGGAGUGCAAUUCCUCCUCCACCACCACCUGGACGAGGAGCUCAAGUACCAAGAGGAACGCCUGCGACGCGUGGAGUACUCCCAGUCCCCCCUGUAGCCAGGGGGGUCCCAACCCCUCGAGCAAGAGGAGUUCCAGCAGUACCAGGUUACAGGCCACCCCCUCCGCCAGCACAUGAACCCUAUGAAGAAUAUGGAUAUGAUGAUGGAUAUGGGGGUGAAUACGACGAACCAAUUUAUGAGGCCUAUGAUAAUAGCUAUACCACACAAACACAGAGUCUGCCUGAAUAUUAUGACUAUGGUCAUGGAACAAGUGAAGAUGCUUAUGACAGCUACGGGAUCCAAACACAGUGGACAGCAAACCAGCACAGUUACGUAGUGCUCAGGUAUUCCUCCAGUGAGGAAAAAUUACACUGGAAUUGGCCUAGGAAAGGUGUCGAACUUAGAGUCUUUCUUCCUCUUCCUCCUAAUAUACCUGAGGGCAAAGUUUGGAUUACUAGAACCUUGUAGAACUGAAACUUUGCUGUACUGCAGUAAAUUAGGAAGAUUAUUACUUCAACACGAAGGAUCAUUAUUGUUUCCAGUGCAUGGGCUUUGGAAUGGUCUGUGUUCUAAACAAAGAGCUGACAUUUAACGCAUUACAAGGAACGAAGCAAGGCCCAGAGGCGUGAGUGGUUUGAUGCAAGGAUGCCAAAAAUGCCGCAGUGAUCAGUUCCAGUGCUUUAUUAGAAGAAAGUGCAAGCUUAUAAAACCCUGCAAAGCCUUGCUGCUGUUACAGACACAGGAUGGAUGCUGAAAUAUGUUAAGCGUUAUUUAUACAAAAAGCAAGCUACAUAAACUGGCAACCAUAGCCCAGUUAACUCACCCCUGGCUUAGAGGCCCCUUUCCAACUCUCCCAUCUCUCAGAUAAGGGAGUAGCUGACAGUGUAAGAAGCCUUCCCUCUCCCAACCAACUAAACCAAAACUCAGGCUUCAAGGUACAGAGCACUUCAUUAUAUGCACGCUCAGAAACCCUUAAACGGAUGAGGCAGCUAUUUGCAUCUGAUAGGAGCUAAGUGGGACAUUAAAUUAAUGCCAAACAAGUGAGUGCUCAUUUUGGUUUCAUUAUAAAUGGCUGCAGUACAGCAGUAAUGUGUUGACUCUUAUGUGCUGACAACUUCUAUAUUUCUUCUAAACUUCCCUGAGAGCUAGACAUGGAGGAAUAAAUUGCUACUCUAGAUGAUAAAAUUAGGAGGAGAUAUAUUCACAAUAAUUGCACAUAGAUCUCCCAAAAUACACCAAAGUCUGAAAAAAGUGUUAGUGGAUUACUGGUUUUCAUGAAGGUUUGUUGACAUGGAUAUGCAUUUUCAUAUUCAACUGCAUCCUCAUUUGUUUUAGGAGACAUCCCAAUUUUAGGAGAACAUCAACCAUGGGUAGGUAUUCCAUGUUCACUUCACACCUUGUAUAGCAGUAAAAUAUGGGCAGUGAAUCUUGCAUUAGCACAAUUUGAAAUCAUUCAUGAAAAAUUGUUGUUGUUGUUGUUGUUACUCAUAUGUUGAAGGCAAGAGAAUAUUUGAACAAUUUGCAUCCACCUGAGCCACAAUCCCCUUGUUUAGCUUUAAGGAAAUAAUAAAUAAGAAACACGAGUCUUUGGUUGAGUAAAUAAAAUAAAAACCAGGAAAAUAAGUAGUUUGUAGUUGACCUUUAGAUAUCAAUUGUGUGAACCAUAUAUUACCUUUUCCUACAGUAGAUUGCCAUUGGGAACAUACUAAGUCCUCAGGUAUUAAAUUCCAGCUAGCUUUAACAAUAUCCAAGCCCUAUAUAGAACCAAAUAAUUUGAAAUGGAUAUGCAGAUGGUAAAUGGACAAAUCACAAACCAGAGGGAAAUGGGAAUCUUUUUUGUUGUUUACAUUUUCUUCUCAUUGUAAAAGUAGACUGUUCUCUUUGCUUUUGAAGUAACUUGUUCCAGAAUGAACCAAAGGCCACAACAUGUGUGAGAGAUAUUUGAGUAUUUGGUUGCGUGCAUCUACCACCAUAACAUUCCCCAGUGAGACAGAGAUGAAACUUUCAAGGGAGAAAGAUGGGAAGAGCUGACAAGCAGAUGUUCCCAAGGCCUGCAUGCUAGUGACAGCUGUAAACCAGAAAGAAAUGCAGUGCCCAACAAAUCAAAACACUGUGUUUGGAAAAGGUCAAGAUUAUCUUCACCUCUUUAGCAUUCCAAGGAGGAAUGACUGGAACCUUUUGACAUCCUUCUACCCCAAGGAGCUGGGGGGGGGAGAUAAAGACAAAAACUGUAACAAAGUGGGGA